CGCGUGUCGGCAUCAAGCCCGGCUAGCGCCGGCUCUAUUCUCUGUCGCGGUGGAGAAGAAGACAGGAGGAAGGAGAGAGAGAUGGUGGGCCCCGCGUGUAAGCCUCAUAGACGUUGACCCACCCCAGGGCCGCUGGCUUAAGUGGAAACGCAUUUGGCUGAAUACGCUUUACCUCCUCUGAAUACGUAUUUCUCAGAGUGCGCUUCCUUUUUUAACCUCAGCCGGCUAAAACGGUUAGAUUGUGGACCUUCACCGGUUUAGAGACAAAAUGAAUACAUUAUUAUUUAUUUUCUACCUAAACAACGAGAUCCUUCUCUUUCCAAAACUUUUUAACCGUGACUCCGAUCGCGCCCUCUUCGAGAGAGAACAGUUUCCGGCCAUUCGUUCCACGGACUCUUCGCACUUCUUCCCGGAGUAUUAUUCAACCUGAGGCGAGCCAACCUUCUGAUAUAUGCCCUACAACACUGCUCUGUGCUAUUCUUGUAUGUUUAAUUAAUGAUUAUGCCAUGAUACAAAUAACUAAACUUCUGUUAGAUUACACUUAUUGCUUGCAUUACUCUCAUUUACUCGCCAUAUAACAAUUCAUAGUAAAUAAUUUAAAUGCCUAGUUACUGCCCUCAACAUUUAUUGUGGUAUACCACAUGCUCACUUAAUGCAACGUAGUCGGUUGAUCUAGAGUCACGUGGUCGGGCUUAUCCGUGCAGCCACAUUUGCCGAUAUAGGACGACCUUCACUUGGUCUGUUCACAUGCUCUUCUACCGGUACCAUCAGACAGGGAAGGUUAUGCGCGCGUGCUACCCUGGUCCGGUGGGCGGCGAUAACCUUGUGAGCUAGUUGAUUGUUUUGUGAAAACGUCCCCGUUUGGGACAGUUUAGUUUGGCCACGACAGUGGCAGGUGUCAUGACGACAUAGGACCACCCAGGACAGGACUCCGGGGGAGGAUGAAUGCCAGUGGUACGAUGGGAGAGUCACGGGUCAGGCAGGUUUCGUUGGAGCAAUGUUGGUCAGUGCUCCAUGAUGUGGGUAAAGUGUGCAACCUCUGCAGAGUGAAAAAUCUAUUCGAAUAGCCGCAUCCACGGUAUUGGACAGCCUGUCCAGACCUCACUAGGUGAUCAACCGUGUAUCGCUGAUAAUAAUGAUGGAAGAACUCGUCUUGUGCAGACAUCAGUUAAUGUCAGGAAUAUGACAUGUUGGUCAUGGAAUGGCUAUGAGAUGAGUGGUCGGAUGAGCACAUGAGUUGGAUUGGAUUUGGAUCAGAUUCAGAUUUGAUCGUGAGGAUAUUCGGAGAAUAAAUCAUUUACUUAAUAUGCUUUACUUUCUCGUAUUUACUUUAGUAGUUAUCUUGCUGCAUAAUCCUGUUAUAUCAUGAUAUUUAAUCCUGCUAGAUAGGUAAGCUAUGCCAUGAUAAUUAAUAUUGCUCUAAUAUCAAGUUCAUGCUGGAAUGCCAUGGAUUGCUUUGCUUAGUGUAUAUGUUAGUUUGGUUUGCUUGCGAGUACAUUCAAAAGUACUCAGCGGCCUUUAACAUGGCCAGGUUCACAUAAGGAUCCGUCGUUCGUCGUCAAGGAGCUAGAGUGUUCGCAGGCUAGAGGAGUAACCAAGUCAGAUCCCUGUGGAUUGGAGCCGCACCAAGACCAUGCUACCUUAGAUAGAGGUUUCCUCCUGCCUUCACCCUUGUAAUAUCCCAUGUAAGACCCUUAUAUCUAUUAAUAGAAAUGUCGGUGUUCAUGAUACUUGUUGUAAACGUGCAUACCAGAGUGAUUUCCUGGGCUGGUAUGCGUGGUGACCGUCUGUCUACAGUUGUAAUCAGGCGGGGCGCCACAAUGGCCAAAGACAUGAUAUGAUAUAUUGGACGUAUGAGAUGAUCAUGUUGUAAUAAGUUACAUACCGACUUGCACGUCGAUGCUACGGCAACCGGCAGGAAACAUAGGGUUGUCUUUAAUUAUUUUGGGCUUGGAGAUGCUUUGCUUUAUCGCUAGUAGUAGUUUAGUAGUAACAACAUAGUUAGCGCGACAACCUCUAUGGCAGCACAAUGAUGGAUAUCAUGGUGUGGUGCCGGUGACAAUGGAGAUCAUGCUGGUGCUUUGAUGAUGGAGAUCAAGAAGCACAAGUUCAUGGCCAUAUCAUGUCACUUAUGAUUUUCAUGUGAUGAUAAUCCUUUUAUGCACCUUGUUUUGCAUAGGACGACUCUAGCAUUAUAAGGUGAUCC
rnacentral:lncRNA from 1 species